GGGAUUGUAGUAUAGUGGUCAGUACUUCUCGUUGUGGCAGGUUGUCAAAUAACCGACACAGCGAUCCGAGAGGACCCAGGUUCGAUUCCUGGCAAUCCCA